UUUAUCAUAAAAAUCUCUGAAGCUUUUAAUUUGAAAUUUUAAAAAAUAUGCUGUUCGAAUUUAUUCAAAAGUCAGGAAAUUGGGGGGUUACCAGUGAACUUAAACUGUGGCAAUUAUAGAUCGAUCGCUGUUUACUUCACAUUAUUCGUCGCUGAAAGGAAAACCUAAUGAAUUUAACUAGUGUGCCUCCUAAAGAGUUUGUCGUGAUACCGUUAUGUCUCUGUAUAAAGAUUUAAGCCAGGAGCUAAGGAAUUUUGAGGACAUAAUAAUUUAAUGUAAACGUUUGACUCGUCUCAGCUAAGAGCAGAAAAAAAGGAAACUACAUCAGCAAUAAAAAAAACACUGUCCUUUGGUACCAAUUGUAACAAUCAUAUUUUUGAUUUUUUGAUGUGGCUUCUCAUUGAAUUCAAAGACAGGAUGAGUAAUUUUUGAUUUGUUGAACUAUUUGAUGGGAUAUAGUUCUGGCUGACGUAUCAGUAGGAAACACAUUGUAUAUUUUAAAUAAUCAAUCAAUCAAACCUUGCUUAAUAUUUUGUUUUAAUUUUGGCUGUAAAACAAGUAAGAAAUACAGAAGGAGUGGAAAGAGAUCUUUUUAUGCGCCCGGAUCGAAAGAUCCGAGGCGUAUAUUGUUUUUGUCCUGUCUGUCUGUCUGUCUGUUUGUCUGUUUAUCUGUUUGUCUGUUUGUCUGCAAACUUUAACCUUCACCAUAACUUUUGAACCAUGAAUGGUUGAGACUUCAUAUUUGGUAUGCAUACUCUACUAAUUAAGCUCUUUCAAAUGACACCAUGGUCAAUGACCUUGUUACCUUGACUGUGACCUAUACACUAAAUAUAGUUUUUUUGUCAGCAAACUUUAACCUUCGCCAUAACUUUUGAACGAAGAAAGAUAGAGACUUAUAGUUGGAAUGUAUACUCCACUAAUUAUUUACUACAUGAAGUUCUAAAUGUUUUAUUAACUAUACACCACAUCAUGUUUAAUAUUCAUUGUUUAGUACCCUUGCA